AUUGAACGCUGGCGGCAGGCCUAACACAUGCAAGUCGAGCGGAUGAAGGGAGCUUGCUCCUGGAUUCAGCGGCGGACGGGUGAGUAAUGCCUAGGAAUCUGCCUGGUAGUGGGGGAUAACGUCCGGAAACGGGCGCUAAUACCGCAUACGUCCUGAGGGAGAAAGUGGGGGAUCUUCGGACCUCACGCUAUCAGAUGAGCCUAGGUCGGAUUAGCUAGUUGGUGGGGUAAAGGCCUACCAAGGCGACGAUCCGUAACUGGUCUGAGAGGAUGAUCAGUCACACUGGAACUGAGACACGGUCCAGACUCCUACGGGAGGCAGCAGUGGGGAAUAUUGGGCAAUGGGCGAAAGCCUAAUCCAGCCAUGCCGCGUGUGUGAAGAAGGUCUUCGGAUUGUAAAGCACUUUAAGUUGGGAGGAAGGGCAGUAAGUUAAUACCUUGCUGUUUUGACGUUACCAACAGAAUAAGCACCGGCUAACUUCGUG
rnacentral:rRNA from 1 species